rnacentral:lncRNA from 1 species
CGUUGAGCUCCGGGCCCGGGGCCGAGGAGGGGCCGCGGGGCUGCGUCGGGGCCCCGCUCUCGACGGCGUCCCGGGCCGGCUCCAUUUUGUGCGGGGAGCCGGCCGAGGGGCGGGAGACGCGGCCCGGGCCCUGGCCCCGUAGCCCCGGCGGCGGCGCGAGUCCCCGGGGGCGCCCUCCUCCCGCCCGCGGGGCUGUGGCGGGGCCCGGCGCUUUGUCUGCCCGCACAUCCCGGGGGCCGCGCGGCGGGUGGGAGGCAGGCGUUGGGCGCGGGGCCGGGGCGGCCGGGCGAGUCAGGGGAUGCGCUCUGGGGGCGGCCUCCUGGCACUCGCAGGGCUGACAGGUCGCCGGGACCAGGCCGUGGGGCCGGGGCCACCCAGGCACCUGCGUGGGGAGGAAGGCAUGGCUUUAGCUUCCCCGCAGCCUGGUUUGCGCGUAAAGAAUGCAGCCAUCUGGCGGUUUGCGGUCCCUGUACUUGCCCCGAAGGUUGAAAUCACAAAGAUUAGACACCUUUUUAGAUAGGUGUUCUUCAGCACCACUGACAACACGGUUCUGACAGUAUUUCAUGACAAUGGAUGGUGACAGUUCUACAACAGAUGCUUCUCAACUAGGAAUCUCUGCAGACUAUAUUGGAGGAAGUCAUUAUGUUAUACAGCCUCAUGAUGAUUGCAAAAGAUGCCAAAGAAUGUGUUCAAGAAUGUGUAAGUGAGUUCAUCAGUUUUAUAACAUCUGAAGCAAGUGAAAGGUGCCAUCAAGAGAAACGGAAAACAAUCAAUGGAGAAGAUAUUCUCUUUGCUAUGUCUACUUUAGGCUUUGACAGUUAUGUGGAACCUCUGAAAUUAUACCUUCAGAAAUUCAGAGAGGCUAUGAAAGGAGAAAAGGGAAUUGGUGGAGCAGUCACAGCUACAGAUGGACUAAGUGAAGAGCUUACAGAGGAGGCAUUUACUAACCAGUUACCAGCUGGCUUAAUAACCACAGACGGUCAACAACAAAAUGUUAUGGUUUACACAACAUCAUAUCAACAGAUUUCUGGUGUUCAGCAAAUUCAGUUUUCAUGAUCUGAAGAAAUGAUGGAAUGGGGAGUGUAGAGAAAUGAGAGUCUGUAUGAUUCUGGAACAGAGACAUCAGAAGGAAAGACUGGUGAAAAGAUGUAUCUUUGUAUAUUAAUAGCUGUAAUGUAGCUUCCUGAUGCUUGACUAAUUGAGGUGUUAAUUCUGACUUGAGAAUCUUUUUCAUGAAUGAUUUUAAAGAAAAAUUUGGAUUUUAAAGGUAUUAAAAUAUUUUUGUUUUGUACGAGAGUUUGUUGCUCUGUAUGACUCCUGUAUGCAUUGUAUAUUGCAAUUUAUUACUGUCAGAGAUUUGUAGACAGUUUCUUAUUUUCAUAUUGAAUCAUGUUACUUUUGUAAUUCAAGUAAGCGGCUGGGUUAAUUCAUGAUGUUUGCCCUUUUAAUAAAAUAUAAGGGUAGAGUU